rnacentral:rRNA from 1 species
ACUGAAAGCAGCAGCGUGAUUUUAUCCCUGCUGUAAAGACUGGGCAAACCAUGAAACCUCCUUCGUGAUUGGGAUAGGGAAUUGCAAUUGUUCCCCUUGAAC